UACGUAGGGGGCAAGCGUUAUCCGGAUUUACUGGGUGUAAAGGGAGCGUAGACGGCAGCGCAAGUCUGGAGUGAAAUGCCGGGGCCCAACCCCGGAACUGCUUUGGAAACUGUGCAGCUUGAGUGCGGGAGAGGUAAGUGGAAUUCCUAGUGUAGCGGUGAAAUGCGUAGAUAUUAGGAGGAACACCAGUGGCGAAGGCGGCUUACUGGACCGUAACUGACGUUGAGGCUCGAAAGCGUGGGGAGCAAACA
rnacentral:rRNA from 1 species